GAUGAACGCUGGCGGCGUGCCUAAUACAUGCAAGUCGAGCGAACAGACGAGGAGCUUGCUCCUCUGACGUUAGCGGCGGACGGGUGAGUAACACGUGGAUAACCUACCUAUAAGACUGGGAUAACUUCGGGAAACCGGAGCUAAUACCGGAUAAUAUAUUGAACCGCAUGGUUCAAUAGUGAAAGACGGUUUUGCUGUCACUUAUAGAUGGAUCCGCGCCGCAUUAGCUAGUUGGUAAGGUAACGGCUUACCAAGGCAACGAUGCGUAGCCGACCUGAGAGGGUGAUCGGCCACACUGGAACUGAGAUACGGUCCAGACUCCUACGGGAGGCAGCAGUAGGGAAUCUUCCGCAAUGGGCGAAAGCUUGACGGAGCAACGCCGCGUGAGUGAUGAAGGUCUUCGGAUCGUAAAACUCUGUUAUUAGGGAAGAACAAAUGUGUAAGUAACUAUGCACGUCUUGACGGUACCUAAUCAGAAAGCCACGGCUAACUACGUG
rnacentral:rRNA from 1 species